rnacentral:misc_RNA from 1 species
GAUGAAGAACGCAGUGAAAUGCGAUAAGUAAUGCGAAUUGCAGAAUUCAGUGAGUCAUCGAAUCUUUGAACGCACAUUGCGCCCUGUGGUAUUCCGCAGGGCAUGCCUGUUCGAGCGUCAUUUCAACCCUCAAGCUCUGCUUGGUGUUGGGCCCUGCCCGCUGCGGCCGGCCCUAAAGACAGUGGCGGUGCCGCCUGGCCCUGAGCGUAGUACAUCUCUCGCUCCAGUGCCCGGUGGUAGCCUGCCAGAACCCCAACUCUCGUGGUUGACCUCGGAUCAGGUAGGGAUACCCGCUGAACUUAAGAAUAUCAAUAAGCGGAGGA